ACAGCACUGAAUAACACAAAGUAUAUAUCUGAAGAAUUAGAAAAGCAGCAACAAAGCAUGAGUUUUGGAGAGUCAAUGCAUGAUGAUCUCUGAAGAUUCUACUGAAAUCUAAUCAAUAUGUCCUCACUGCCAUCAAUUCAAAAGAACUUGCUAAGAAGGCUCUAGAGGCUUGUACUCUCAGAUAGUGAAAGUGAGAUGAUGUGUAGUGAAAGUCAUAUAUAGGUUGUAAAUUGCAAUAUGGAAUUCCCAAAUGCUGAAUUCAUUUUAUCUCUUCGGAAAUAAAAACCUGUUAAAGACU
rnacentral:lncRNA from 10 species